rnacentral:rRNA from 1 species
AGGCUGGGCGGAGCUACACAUGCAGUCGAGCGGUAGAGAGAAGCUUGCUUCUCUUGAGAGCGGCGGACGGGUGAGUAAUGCCUAGGAAUCUGCCUGGUAGUGGGGGAUAACGUUCGGAAACGGACGCUAAUACCGCAUACGUCCUACGGGAGAAAGCAGGGGACCUUCGGGCCUUGCGCUAUCAGAUGAGCCUAGGUCGGAUUAGCUAGUUGGUGAGGUAAUGGCUCACCAAGGCUACGAUCCGUAACUGGUCUGAGAGGAUGAUCAGUCACACUGGAACUGAGACACGGUCCAGACUCCUACGGGAGGCAGCAGUGGGGAAUAUUGGACAAUGGGCGAAAGCCUGAUCCAGCCAUGCCGCGUGUGUGAAGAAGGUCUUCGGAUUGUAAAGCACUUUAAGUUGGGAGGAAGGGCAGUUACCUAAUACGUGAUUGUUUUGACGUUACCGACAGAAUAAGCACCGGCUAACUCUGUGCCAGCAGCCGCGGUAAUACAGAGGGUGCAAGCGUUAAUCGGAAUUACUGGGCGUAAAGCGCGCGUAGGUGGUUUGUUAAGUUGGAUGUGAAAUCCCCGGGCUCAACCUGGGAACUGCAUUCAAAACUGACUGACUAGAGUAUGGUAGAGGGUGGUGGAAUUUCCUGUGUAGCGGUGAAAUGCGUAGAUAUAGGAAGGAACACCAGUGGCGAAGGCGACCACCUGGACUAAUAC